rnacentral:rRNA from 1 species
UUAUAAAGUGUGUUUUUUUUCUGGCUCAGAUUGAACGCUGGCGGCAUGCUUUACACAUGCAAGUCGAACGGUAACAGGGUGCUUGCACCGCUGACGAGUGGCGAACGGGUGAGUAAUGCGUCGGAAUGUACCGUGUAAUGGGGGAUAGCUCGGCGAAAGCCGGAUUAAUACCGCAUACGCCCUGAGGGGGAAAGCGGGGGAUCGAAAGACCUCGCGUUAUACGAGCAGCCGACGUCUGAUUAGCUAGUUGGUGAGGUAAGAGCUCACCAAGGCGACGAUCAGUAGCGGGUCUGAGAGGAUGAUCCGCCACACUGGGACUGAGACACGGCCCAGACUCCUACGGGAGGCAGCAGUGGGGAAUUUUGGACAAUGGGGGCAACCCUGAUCCAGCCAUGCCGCGUGUCUGAAGAAGGCCUUCGGGUUGUAAAGGACUUUUGUCAGGGAGGAAAUCCCGCUGGUUAAUACCCGGCGGGGAUGACAGUACCUGAAGAAUAAGCACCGGCUAACUACGUGCCAGCAGCCGCGGUAAUACGUAGGGUGCGAGCGUUAAUCGGAAUUACUGGGCGUAAAGCGUGCGCAGGCGGUUGUGCAAGUCUGAUGUGAAAGCCCCGGGCUUAACCUGGGAACGGCAUUGGAGACUGCACAGCUAGAGUGCGUCAGAGGGGGGUAGAAUUCCACGUGUAGCAGUGAAAUGCGUAGAGAUGUGGAGGAAUACCGAUGGCGAAGGCAGCCCCCUGGGAUGACACUGACGCUCAUGCACGAAAAGGCCGGCCAACCCCA